rnacentral:rRNA from 1 species
CUACGGGCCGCACCAGUGAGGAAUUUUGCGCAAUGGGGGAAACCCUGACGCAGCAACGCCGCGUGAGCGAAGAAGGCCCUCGGGUCGUAAAGCUCUGUCAAGUGGGAAAAAAAUCUUUUGAUCAAUAGUCAAAAGACUUGAUGGUACCACUGGAGGAAGCACCGGCUAAUUCCGUGCCAGCAGCCGCGGUAAUACGGAGGGUGCAAGCGUUGUUCGGAUUUACUGGGCGUAAAGAGCGUGUAGGCGGUUUAGCAAGUCAGAUGUGAAAGCCCUGGGCUCAACCCGGGAAGUGCAUUUGAAACUGCUUCACUAGAGUAUGGGAGAGGAGAUUGGAAUUCCUGGUGUAGAGGUGAAAUUCGUAGAUAUCAGGAGGAACACCCGUGGCGAAGGCGAUUCUCUGGACCAAUACUGACGCUGAGACGCGAAAGCGUGGGGAGCAAACAGGAUUAGAUACCCGCGUAGUC